rnacentral:rRNA from 1 species
CAGCAGCCGCGGUAAUACCGGCGGCCCGAGUGGCGGUCACUAUUAUUUGGCUUAAAGCGUCCGUAGCCGGGUUGGGAAGUCCUCCGGGAAAUCUGGCCGCUUAACGGUCAGAAUGCCGGAGGAUACUCCCAGCCUAGGGAGCGGGAGAGGCCGAGGGGAUUCCCGGGGUAGGGGGGAAAUCCUAUAAUCCCGGGAGGACCACCUGUGGCGAAGGCGCUCGGCUGGGACGCGUCCGACGGUGAGGGACGAAGGCCAGGGGAGCAAACCGGAUUAGAUACCCGGGUAGUCCUGGCUGUAAACGAUGCGGACUUUGUGUCGGACAAGCUAUGAGCUUGUCCGGUGCCGGAGGGAAACCGUUAAGUCCGCCGCCUGGGGAGUACGGCCGCAAGGCUGAAACUUAAAGGAAUUGGCGGG